rnacentral:rRNA from 1 species
UGGGGAAUAUUGCACAAUGGGCGCAAGCCUGAUGCAGCCAUGCCGCGUGUAUGAAGAAGGCCUUCGGGUUGUAAAGUACUUUCAGUCGGGAGGAAGGUGUCAAGGUUAAUAACCUUGGCAAUGGACGUUACCGACAGAAGAAGCACCGGCUAACUCCGUGCCAGCAGCCGCGGUAAUACGGAGGGUGCAAGCGUUAAUCGGAAUGACUGGCGUAAAGUGCACGCAGGCGGUUGAUUGAGUCAGAUGUGAAAUCCCCGGGCUUAACCCGGGAAUUGCAUCUGAUACUGGUCAGCUAGAGUCUUGUAGAGGGGGGUAGAAUUCCAUGUGUAGCGGUGAAAUGCGUAGAGAUGUGGAGGAAUACCGGUGGCGAAGGCGGCCCCCUGGACAAAGACUGACGCUCAGGUGCGAAAGCGUGGGGAGCAAACAGG